rnacentral:rRNA from 1 species
UGGUGUACCGGUUGUCACGCCAGUGGCAUCGCCGGGUAGCUAUGUGCGGAAGAGAUAACCGCUGAAAGCAUCUAAGCGGGAAACUCGCCUUAAGAUAAGACUUCCCGGGACGUAAGUCCCCUGAAGGGUCGUGGAAGACCACCACGUUGAUAGGCCGGGUGUGGAAGCGCAGUAAUGCGUUAAGCUAACCGGUACUAAUUGCCCGUGAGGCUUGAUCCUAUAACUUUG